UACGUAGGGUGCGAGCGUUGUCCGGAAUUAUUGGGCGUAAAGAGCUCGUAGGCGGUCUGUCGCGUCGAAUGUGAAAACACGGGGCUCAACUUCGUGCCUGCAUUCGAUACGGGCAGACUAGAGUUCGGUAGGGGAGUCUGGAAUUCCUGGUGUAGCGGUGAAAUGCGUAGAUAUCGGGAGGAACAUCAGUGGCGAAGGCGGCCUUCUGGUCCAGUACUGACACUCAAGUGCGAAAGCGUGGGGAGCAACAGG
rnacentral:rRNA from 1 species